rnacentral:rRNA from 2 species
AGCAAGCGGGAUUAGAUACCCUGGUAGUCUAUGCCGUAAACGAUGAGUGUUCACCCUUGGUGUAAAUCCGGGGCCCAGCUAAUCCGUGAAACACUCCACUUGGGAGUACGGUGGCAAGACCUAAACUCAAAGGAAUUGACAGGGGCUUGCACAAGUGGUGGAGCAUGUGGUUUAAUUUGAUACAUUGCACAAAAACUUAAUGUAGGGCCCACCUUUUA